UAUGGCCACAUCACAUUCAAACAUUGGUUCCCAUACAAUCACUGAAGUUAAGCAAUGUCGUGCAUGGUCCAUACCUAGAUGGGGGACCACUUGGGAAUAGCAAGUGCAGUA